rnacentral:tRNA from 1 species
GCGUCGGUGGUUCAGUGGUAGAAUACUCGCCUGCCACGCGGGUGGCCUGGGUUCGAUUCCCGGCCGACGCA